rnacentral:tRNA from 1 species
GUGGUUGUAGUUUAGUGGUGAGAAUUCCACGUUGUGGUCGUGGAGACCUGGGCUAGAAUCCUAGCAACCACA